rnacentral:rRNA from 1 species
AUAUUGCACAAUGGGCGCAAGCCUGAUGCAGCCAUGCCGCGUGUGUGAAGAAGGCCUUCGGGUUGUAAAGCACUUUCAGCGGGGAGGAAGGCGGUGAGGUUAAUAACCUCAUCGAUUGACGUUACCCGCAGAAGAAGCACCGGCUAACUCCGUGCCAGCAGCCGCGGUAAUACGGAGGGUGCAAGCGUUAAUCGGAAUUACUGGGCGUAAAGCGCACGCAGGC